AAGGUUGGAUUGGGGAGGGGUCUCCAGGACGUUAGAUUUCUACGCAAGGAUUGGGGGAAUUCAAGUGCUUUGAGAUCUGAGCCAGGCCUUGGGUAGGGGGAGUCAGACAAUUGGAAAGCCUAGGUGGUUAUUUGGGGAGGGGUCUUUGCGCUUUGGUGGAGCGCAAAAUUGUGCCUUAAAAGCCUAAGGCCUUGUCAAGAGAGGUUUCUAUGCAAGAGUGGACCAGCUAGGCCAGACCAAGAGAAAGAAAGUGAAAAAUCAGGACUAUAAGGGGGUGGGGGACCCUGAGAGGGUGGUCACAAAGGGUGAGACAUGGCCACCAGGCGUUUAACCGACGCUUUCUUGUUGUUGCGGAAUAAUUCCAUCCAAAACCGGCAGCUGUUAGCCGAGCAAGUGAGUAGUCACACCACCUCCAGCCCUCUGCAUUCACGUAGCAUUGCUGCGGUGAGUCUCCUGGCGGCCUCUCCAGACACACACACCGUGUGCACUGCGGCUCUGCCUGUCUGUCUGUCUCUGUCUGUCUCUCUGUCU
rnacentral:lncRNA from 1 species